AACAACAUGCAAGCCACCACAGUAUGACAACCUGACAGACUGGUGGUGAAAUUCACUAAUAGGGCUGGCAUUUGUAGUUCAUUCAUACUUGUGAUCAAUUUAUUACCUAUUUAUCGAGCAGCAGCUAUGGGCCAACUGUUUUCUAGCUGUGAGGAUGAUAGCAAUGAAAGAUAGGCAAGGAACCUACUCUACUAGAGCUUUUUCCUACUGUAAAACCAAAAAUCCCCAAGUCCGUUGCUGUUGAUUCACAUCUGACUCCUGACGACCACAUGAGUGACAGAGUAGAACUGCUCUGUAGGGUUUUCUUGGCUGUAAUCUUUAUGGAAGCAGAUUGCCAGGCCUUUCUUUCAUGGUGCUUCUGGGUGGGUUCGAACUGCCAACAUUUCAGUUAGAUGAGCACUUAACCAUUUGCACCACUCAGGGAUCUUUUCCGACUGAAAGAGCAAGUAAAACAAUAAGAGAGCUCCACAUUCUACUAAGUGAUAGAGAAGCCUGGACAGGUGGGGCUGCUUUUUGGCAGGGUCAGGGGAGGCCUUCCUAGAGAGCUGGAUUUGGAGCUGAGCAAGAACCAGCCUGUGUGGAGAACUGGGAAGAGGGAUCCCAUGGCAGGGUUGGAGAGAAGGGAGUGAGGGAAGUAAGUGAUUGUGAGACUGGAGAGACAGGCAGGGUAGGGUUCUGCAGGGCUUUGUGGGCUGUGUUUGGAUUUUAUCCUGAGUGCAAUGGGAAGCUGCCGAAGGCAAUAACAUGACCUGAUUUAUACAUAAAAAAGUUGUGUUGAGAAUCAGUCAUAGGGUGGAAAGGAAGCUUUUCUUUCUUAGAAUCUUAAGAGGGAGGCUUCAGGAUGGGUCACUGUAAGAUAAUGUCAGGAAGAAGGAGAGAGAUUGCAGACAUUGGUGUGGGUCUGAGACGCGUAAUGACUGUUUUCUUCCACAACAGCUCUUCGGUGUACUGUGCCUCAAUAUAUGGCUCCACGCAGGGACCUAAACCUGAAAACUGGUUUACCAGAUACCUUCCUUUACCCCUGCAGGCCUACCGUCUGUUCUUCCUCCUUUCAUGGGACCAGGGAGGCUGAAAUGUAUGGAUCGCAUUAGAAGGCUCUCUUGUUCUUUGGCUUCCAAGCACCCCUGGAAAGAAAAGAAAGAAGGGAAGAAAUAGACGUCAAGGACAAGCCCAGGCAGCUGCCAUCUUCGAGGAAGAGUUACUGCCCCUAUAGGACCCUUCUGACAAGACAGGUACUCCCCCUGCACCUACCCCCAAGUGGUGGCUGUGGAAUGAGAAGGCAACGAGAUGAGUCAUUGAAUUGGUAAAGAGCAGAGGAGCAACUCAAACUGGAAGAGCUUUAGUGGGCCACAAGUGUGUGCAGUCCUGGCCUCACCCUCCAUCCUGGGGCCUCUUUAUGCUGUUCUCAAAUAUAUACCUUGUGUGGUUAGGAGAUUCCAGCACUGGGCCCUGGCAUCCUUCUGGUUUGCUGUUCUUCCUGUUCAGCUGAGUGUCUGCACCUCUUGCUUCAGCUGCUUUUUUAAAGUGUUGGGACUACACUUAAGCCCUGCCCUGAGAGCCACCUCAACUUGGGAAAGUGGGUAAGUGGGAGGUGGGGGUUAGGGGAUCAAAGGAAAGUGUGGGUGGAUGGGCACAAGGAAUGGGCAGGGUGGGUGACUUGGAGACAUGGGUAAAAUGGGCUUGUAAGGAUAGGUGGGUUUCUCACCACCACAUUUUAUUAAUUAGUGCACCAGGAAGGCAUCCAGCAUCGUGGGGAUAAAGUCCAGAAAUUUCAGCAGAGAAAGUAUUGGGAGGAGGGCUUUCAGGGAUGGAAGCAAUGUUAGACUAAAGAGUGGAGAGCAAAAGGCAACUGGAAAAGAAGGAAGGAAGGAAGGAGGGAAGGAAAGAGGAAGGGAAGGAAGGAAGGGGAGAAGGAAGGAAGGGAGGAAGGAAAGAAGAGGGAAGGAAGGAAGUGGGGACGGAAGGAAGGGGAGGAGGAGACACACAUACACAGUGCAGAGGACCUACGUUAGAAUUUGUCUGUAUUAGAAUCUCUGAAGCUAGUGGAGCACGCACUGGUAACAUGGCCCAGGACAGUGACAGGAGUGGGCAGCCCACCUAUUGGGUCAUGCCGUUGCUGAUAGCCUUUAGUCACUAGUGUCCAAUUAGCAGCCUGUUCUUCUUGCAAGUGCCCUGCUUGAGAGAGAAGCCAGGACUAAAAGUUGUGACCCUUUUAUGUUGAAUUCGGUGCUUGUGAGAUAUGAUACUCCAUGGUCUCACCCCUUUCCCCCCAUUUUCCUGAGCUGGGUAGAAAGAAAUUAUGGGUCUCAGAAUAUGGUCCAUGGGGUUCAGGAAAGAAAUUUCCACAGAGUUGCUCCCUUCACCUUCGAAGAUGAAGGACAGGUGUGUCUUUCCUGCACCCACCAUCGCCCCCAGGUCCCAGAGCUGAGGAGAACUUCUAGUCAUUUACACUCUAUUUACAUAAGAGAUUUGAGGCAGCCAAAGGGAGGGCAUUAACGUAGCCAGGUAUGGCUCCCAGGGAUCAGCACCUUCAGUGUGUAUGGAGGUCAAAUGAGUCCCCAAAUAAUGGAAACCAUCUUUACAUUUCCACAGGAAUGUUUGGUCUUCACAUCUUGUAUUAUUUGUGAACCUAUAACUAAGGCGUAGUCUUUCUGCAGUCCGUAAAUGCUCAUCAUUCCAUUGAGAAGAUUGAGUAUGACUUUUAAUUGUGAAUUUGGUGUUUUUAUUGCCACAAACAUCUUUAAUGACGAUGUACAGCUUUAACUCAUCUGUGUGCCUUAGGUGAGUUAUGAUUUUACUCUAAAGCUGUUUCCAGUUUCCCAGCAGCCAGUAUGGUUCUCGCAAGGAUCAUCUACUGCUCACCGCAGUCUGAAGGUCUCCAGGCUCCUUGUUGCUCUCCUGUAAGCAACUUAAUUUCUCUCUUCUCCUUCUAGAGCGCAAAAGGUGAAUGAUUUCUUUUCACACACUAUUUAAUUUUGGGAGACUUGUGGAUUCUUUGAAGCUUAUCCAGGUACCCCGGUUUAACAUGCCUUCAUUUAAAUAAAAAAACUGCAUUAUUUGCUUCUAACGCUAAAUAUAUUGGAUAGCUGUUAUGGAUUGAAUUGUGUCCCCCUAAAAUGUGUGUCAGCUUGGCUAGGCCAUGAUUCCCAGUAUUGUGUGAUUGUCCAUCAUUUUGUCAUCCGAUAUGAUUUUCCUGUGUUAUAAAUCCUACCUCUAAGGUGUUAAUGAGGCAGGAUUAGAGGCAGUUUUGUUAAUGAGGCAGGACUCAAUCUACAAGAUUAGUCUGUAUCUUGAGUCAAUCUCUUUUGAGAUAUAAAAGAGACAAGCAAGUAGACAGAUAGGGGGACAUCAUUACCAUCAAGCAAGAAGAACCAGGGGUAUGCAUCCUUUGGACCGAGAGUCCAUAUGCUGAGAAUCUCCUAGACCAAGGGAAGAUUGAUGACAUGAACCUUUCCCCAGAGCCAACAGAAAGCCUUUCCCGGGAGCUGGCACCCUGAAUUCAGACUUCUAGCCUCCUAGACUGUGGGGGAAUAAAUUUCUCCUUGUGAAAGCCAUCCACUUGUUGCAUUUCUGUUAUAGUAGCAUUAGAUGACUAAGGCAAUAGCUGUCUACAUUUCCUCAGAACUCCCUCUUUCAAUGCCUUUAUAAUCUUUGUCAUUGCCAGUCUGCUUAUUCACAGCUGCUCAUUGCUAGCUCUUUGAGGGAGCAGGCCUGAGGGUGAGCUGGUAAAGGGUAGCCCUGGGAAGUAGGAGGCAGGUUGCCAGGGUCACAGUGAUUACCGCUGAAAUUUCAAAUCCUGACAAGCAUUUCUUAAUAUGUAUUUUCCAAUGCAGGGGACUAGACAUGCUCUGGUGGUAGUCACAGAGAUGCAUGGCUCAGAUGUCUCUUCAGACAGAGCUCCCUGCUGUGUGGAGUGUAGUUAGCUGAUAGCUUUCAGCUGCCGAUCUUUGGAAUCCACCACAGUGUUCCAGAGACCACUCUCUCCAGAGGGCUUCCAGUCAGGGAGGGAACGUGGUGGGGGCACCAGGCCUGGCCAUUUCUGCCAAUGCAGGACUUCUCUAUGGACAAUCUUUGCCUGAUGUUGGACUGGCCGAGACUUUCUGAGAUGUAGCUCAGUCUGAGGCUCUUCCUGCCCUAUUCCCUUCCUCCUCUCUUUCUUUCACGGUUGUCAGAUCUGCACAGUGAUCUGAAGGCUCUUCCUAUCCAUUUGUGCUUCCUCUCUCCUUUUUCUUUCACAGGUGUUUCCCCCAGUAAAUCUCUUGCACUUCCAACUCUGUCUUAGUAUCUGCUCCUAGGAGACCUGAGUUGACAUAACUCUCCACUCAUAGGUGACAUCAUUAGUCACUUCACACUAUCCCACCUAAUUUCCCAUAUCUCAGCCUAGAAGUAGUUCCCAAAUACUGCCAACCCAUUUAUCACAUUUAGGAGUUUGCUGGAUAUUGGGUUCCAUUAUUCUGGUUAGGCAAGUUAUUGGGGUUUCUAAACACGCUUAGCUGCUAGCUGAAAGGGUGGGGAUUUGAGUCUACCCAGAGGGACCCUGUCAAAAAGGCCUGGUGAUCUAUUUCCAAAAAAUCAGCCAUUGAAAACACUAUGGAGCACAGCUCUAUUCUGACACACAUGGGGCCUCAUGAGUCGACAUCUCGACAGCAACUGGCUCAGUACCACCCCAUCCAGCCCCUAUAGUGUGCUUAGGCUCCCUAGAGAUGAGACACAGGCCUGUGCUGGUCAAACACACACUUUAUUUCUGUACAGACAUUCUUUUCAAAAUCCCAGGCUGGAAAACCUGGAAACCUCAGGAACUGCCCCUUUCCACUUUUACUCUUCUUGCCUAAAGCCAGAUCGAGAGGUCAGCUCCUGAGUCCCCUUUUCCCAGGAUUUCACUCAGUCCUUCCGAAAGAAUGGACAGUCCAUCAGGUCUUAGCAUGCUGGUAGGGGGUGAGGAGGACAAGGAUGCUUGCCCUUUAGCUCCUCCCAUAAAAGUUCCCCUCCCCACCCCUCAAUUACUGUGGUCCCAAUUACCAUGAGUCCAUGAGAAAGAAUGAGAAGGAGGAAGCUGGCACAGUACAAAUAACACAUUGACAGCCACGGGAUCCCACAUUUUGGAAGUAACAUAACAAAGAUGGCCCCAUGAUGCCUUAUAUUCUAUUAUUACUGAACAGUAUACGUCAAGGAAACACAUUUAUGAGACAAACACAUUGGGUGACACAUUUCUAUAAUAGGAAUGAGACCCAUGCACAGUGUAAAUCAUGGUGUUUCUCACACAUGGGAGCUGAUAACAUUGUUUUAAAGUUAAGUGGACGUUGAGGAGUGGGUCAGAGACAGGUUUGCUGGGUUCUCUCUGAGGUGGUGUUUUGCUAUAUUCAAUACAGCCCAAGACCAUCCCACAUUCCCUCUUAUUAUGUGCUGUGAUGAUGCUGGUCAACCACCUCAUUAUAGGGCCCCUGGGUUUACUGGUGACCCUUUUGGAAUUAUCUCAGGGGACUCUCCUUGCAAAAGGGUCUCUGAAAAUUCCAGCCAUUGGCUUGAUGACCCAUGUUGACUGUGGCUUUUAGAAUCCUGUGGAGAAUCUGCUCCUCAGCUGCCUCCACUGGGCAGGCUGGGCUCACUAGGACUGGUGAGUUAGCAACUUACUGCAGGCUCCUCAAGAGUGGAAGGAGCUGUGUGUCCCAGAGCUCAGUGGGAAGUCCACAGCAGGUGCUCAGUACUUGUCAAGUUCAACUCUAACUUUCCUUCUGUAGACAGAAUGUUCCCUAUUCCUUGACAUUUUCUUCUUAUGUAUGUCUUCUGAUGUGAAUGGUGCAUGCACGACAUUCUUUUCUAUUAUAAGAAUGACUAAUGCUUUGCACAAUGAUUUUGUGCUUCUAAACUAUGUCUUCCAUUCAUAUAUCUGCAUUGAACUGGCUUCGUUUAAUUUGUUUACCAUGCUGCUUUGCAGAAUAUGACUCAUGGGUCUUUCUGGCUUAUACUGUUGCUAUACAACCUCCCUCAAUGCCCUGAGUGGAUUAGAGCCAUCGGGGUUUGCAAAGGCUGUAAACCCUGUGGUUACAGCUGUUCUUCCCUUAACACUACGGACAAAGGACAUGUGCAAACCAUGAGGAGGACAUUUAUGGAUGUCACAUGAGCCCUCUACUUCUAGUCACAUUUGGAUAAAGCACAGAGCUGGGAGACACAAAGAAACUGCACGUUCACCUACUGGAAACCCUAAAGCUGUAUUAGGACAUGAAGCAUUCAGUGCAUGGCGCUGGCAGACUCAUUGUCUUGCAGAUUGUCCUGUAGGGUUGGUGAAUCAUUCCACCCCAUCAGAGGUAGGAGCCCAGCAAAGCCUUGGGGGCAGGGAGGGGAGAUUAGGUCUUUGAAGGGAAGAUGCCAAGUGCCCUUCUCCCUGAAGUCGCACCUCAGGGUGCAGCCUCUUCAUUCAUUGGGCAUUGGAGCUCAUGCCAAUGCUAGUAUAAAGUUAAGAAUCUGGGUUAGUAGCCCUGCCCUAAGACACCCAAAAGGCCGGAGCAGGGAGCUCACGUUUGUCUUCCCUGUUGGCAUCUUCAGCUGUGGAAAUCAGCCUACUACAGCCUGAUGGAGAGAUGCAGACUUGGGUAUGAAGUCCUCUGCUCUGCAGCAGUCCAAAACCUUCCAGGAGAAGGAAUGCACUCACUGUUUCAGGGUAAUUCAGUAGAGAAUGUCUGAUAUGGGUAUUUACAUAUAUUCUUAGCAGUUGCUUUGUCUCCAGGAGCUAGGUAGUAGUCACUGGACUCACUGCUCCUAUUCUCUUUUAGACCACCAUCCUUUGGUGAAACAAACAAAAUUCAUACAAUCAGUGAACCACUGAAUGUUAAGAUUCAAAGGGAUAUUUAGAUGAUCUAGUUUAGUUGCAUUGUUUUACAAAUAAGGAAAGAGAGGCUCAGACAGAUGCAGUAAGCACAGGGCUCCUGACUGUUGGUCCGUAACAGACAUAAACUUGUAUUCCUGUGUCAGUUACUCAGAAAAAUCAUGGGGAAGAUAAUGCAGAAGACUCUAGGAUCUUACUCUCAUAAUGUUUCCUCUAAAAAGCCAAACCUAAACAUAGAGAAAUACUGAGAUGCUUAGAGAGAGAGAAAAAAAAAAACCAAACCCAUUGCUUUCAAGUCGAUUCCGACUCAUAGCGACUCUAUGGAACAGAGUAGAACUGUCCCAUAGGGUUUCCAAGGAGCAGCUGGUGAAUUCGAACUGCCAAACUUUUGGUUAGCAGCUGAGCUCUUAACCACUGAGCCAGAGUCAGGGUUAAAAUUUUCAUUUAGAUUUUAUGUGGUUCCUUCUUUUUUUCACCCCAUCAAGUGAAGGAUGGUGUGAAAUGAGCAACCAGCUAAAGAAAUAGUAAUCUGAACACGACUGGAAAUGAACGUGUUGACCUAAGACAGGGCCUAGAGGCAAAUGGGUCCAUUUGAUCUAUUGGUGCACUGCAGGAUUCAUCCUGAACGUGUGCUCUUUCUUGUAGCCUAAGUUACUUCUAGAACCAUGGAAUGGACUGUAGAAAAAAUUUAGUCCAGCCCUGCCAUCAUUUUACAGGCUCAGUGAAGUUUGAUGAUUUGCCUUAGGUCACGCAGCAUGAAGGUGGUAAAGACAGGGGAGAAUCCUGUUUUUUUUGACUUCAGGAUGCAAUGUUUUCACCUAGACCAUUCUGAACCUUUCCACAUGUCCCAUUGUUCGGGUGUUUCUGAUGGUCUCCAGAUCAAGGAAUUAUCCAUGCAUGAAAUGAAGCAAGACAAAGAUGGUGGGUGGCUGCACCUGUGGAAGGACUCAUGUCUAGGAGAGCAUAUUGGAGUAGAAGCUAAAGCUCUCUGUCAUGGUCUUGGAGUCGCUGCGGGAGGAACCAUUGGAGGUCAGGUCUACGGAUGAAGGUGUGGUCUUGGGGCCAUCCUCCAGCUCUUCCUCAUGGGCACCCACCACUGUGGAGACAGUGGUCUCUAGGCGGCUGACUUUGUACACGCUACCUUGGGUCUGGAGGUAUCGGGUGGAUUUCAUUUCAAGCCCCUCAUAGUCUCCAGCGCUGAUGAAGGGGCAGCACCGGAAGGCAUGCUUGAAACCCAGACGGAACCUGGGGAGGAAGCAGAUGGAGGGGUGACUGUGGGCAGCCCACUUUCAGGGGGCACUCCCAGCACAGCAUCAGCUCUUAAACACACCAAUGCACCCAAGUGUGACUCUGCUAUUAUUAUCUCUUAAAUUAGUUGAAAGCUGGAGAUACGAAGGCAAGAUUUAAAGGUGAAAUCAAGGUCAAAUCCAGGACAAGAACCUAGGUUCCUGUGAAAUGGGUGCCUUUACAGAGGGCAGCUACUGAGCUCUGCUGCCUCUUCUGGUAUGGGGUCAGCAGACUUUGAGUUAAUUCAACAUCAACAAACAGUCUCCAAAUGUUUUCUAUGUGCGGGGUGCUGUGCCAGUCACUGGGUGAUAAAAACGCAUACCAAGGCAGUCCUUUCCCUUAAGUACCUCACAGAAUGAAGAAUGACUUUCUGCCAACCAUAUCCCUUGGGUUUGCCUCAGUUCCUCUGUUGGUACACCAGGCAGAAUCAACUUUUAAUUAAAGACAUGUUAGGAGAUUUAACCUAAAAAAGCUUAGAAGGGUCAUCAGGGUCUUUGAAGAAGGAUGAAUCUGUAAAUUGGUUGAACAGAAACCAUUUGGAUAAGUUCAAGAGAAUAUCUUUCCCCAAAUUCAUACUACCUGAGUGUCCCAUUCACAGAAGACACUUUAUAGACUGAUGAUUGAUGGCUACAAAGACUGUAACAAGCAUUUUGUCCUGUUGCUGCCUUUCCCACCUCCUUUCCCUCACAGAGCCUGGGGUCGUGCUCUGGAUGAAGAAUUGUGCUGUGGCAUGGCGUCCCAGCUCCCUCCCGGAGACCCUCUGGUGGAUUCUUUAUUGCUGGCCACAUUCCUUAUGGGCUCUACCUUCUCUUGCUUGUCUGAGGUUGGAUCCUGUUGAGGGGGGAUGGCUUUCUCCAACCCUCUGGCCAGAAAAGAGCAGGAAUCAUGCCUUUGAGGCUCUGACUCCUUUCUGUUUACUCCGUCCUGCUGGAAAUGCUGGAAGAAACUGGGUAAAGCUUCCCAGCUUGUAUGAUGGAAUGGGGAGAGGAAAAGAUCAGAGAGGGGCAAAAGCGCCGUAUGCAGGAUGGUAUUUCAGUGUCACAUAUGGCUGACUCAGCUUUCAGACCAACCUCUCUCUCUCUCUCUCUUUCUGUCUGUCUCUCCCCAUCUCUCUCUGUACGUAUGCACAGCCCCCUCUGCACUGAAUCUGUAGGGCAGAGUGAGCAAACUCACAGGCCAUGGACUGGCUCUGGAUCUACCUGGUAAAAAAAAGGCAUGCUUUAUAUACAUCAAUCACUGAGAUUUUUAAUUUUUUCUUCUCUGAUUUAAUCGCCAGCAUUUAAAAAUUGAAAGAUUUCACAUAAAAAUGUGGAUUUCUGGCUCCUCUUGAAAAAGAAAGAAAGAAAAAAAAAAUCCCUUCAUCCUGGGCUCUCGUUUCUGUAUGGCAAUAAUCAGCGGGGGCUGAGUAGUGCAGUGAUUCUUUUGCCACAUCCCCACCACUCCCUCUUGUGUCACAGCCAGCUGUGCUCAUUUAGGUCAGCUGUUUGCCGUAUAGGCAGAUGGGCUUGUGGUCCCUGGAGAGGGGUUGGGGGAUGAGGUCCUCACCUGUCAUUGAGGCAGCAGUAGAUGAUAGGGUUGUACAUGGUGGAGCUCAUGGCCAGCCACAUGAUGGCCAGGUAGACCUGCUGAAUAAACUUCUCCAGGUAGAUAUCCGGGUUGAUGUAGGGCAGGAGGAAGAAGAUGUGGAAGGGCAGCCAGCAGAUGGCAAAGGUACAUACCACAACGAUCAUCAUCUUGACCACCUGGCAAGAGGGUGAGACAUCGUCUCUUGUGGCUACUUUCUCUCUUCUCUGUGGGGUGGGAAGGGGCUUGGCAAGCAGAUGCAAGGACCUUUACGUGCAGUGUCCAAGGGCUUUGGUUCUCAGAAAUAGGUCGCAGGGCCAGCAUCAUCAUCCUCACUGGGAACUUGUUAGAAAUGCAAAUUCUUGGGCCCCAACCCAGACUGACUGAAUCAGAUACUCUGGAGGUGGGACCCAGCAUUCUGUGUUUUGACAAGACUUCAAGGUGAUUCUGGUGCCCACUCAAGUUUGGAAACCCUUGUGUUAAUAUUCUGGGCAAGGACUGGAGAAGCCAAGGGAGAUUAAGUUAAUGGGAAAAGUUGAAUGAGUGUUCAGAAGGGAGAGAAAGCAGAGGGGUUGGGAAAGGGGAGGAGCCAAUAAGCCACCGUAGGCUGCUAGGUUUAGAAACUCACUCAGGGGUAGGAGGGAGAGGGGAAGAGAUUUGGACAGCUGCAGGAAAAGCGUUGGGAGAGUGUAGGAUAUUUAAAGGGGAUCUAGAAGAAUGUUUUAUGAAUACUGGGUGAUGUAACCCCAUUUUUUCUCACCAAGAAAUCUUCACAAAAGAAUUAUAUAACCUUCACACAAUGAAAUACUAUGCAGGGGAAA